rnacentral:lncRNA from 1 species
UAACUUCUGAAGGGAUAGCAAAAACUAGUAUAUUAAUAAAGGGUUCAAGCAGGGGCAAUCGCCUAAAAAAAAUUUAGGUCAGUCCAUUUUUUCUCCAUGCAGUAGAAUUGCAAAAUCAACUAACAACAAAAUUUGUCAACCUUUUCCUAGAGGACAAUUUUGCCCUUUGCAGAAAUAGAAGCCCAACAGAUACUUGGUCUUGGUUUGAAACAUAGGAAAAAUUGACCAAUUACGUUGUAAGACACAAGACAAAGACAAAAAUAAAUGAAGAAAUAUAAAAUUAAACACAAAAAACAAAGCUUUCUACUGACGAAUGAAUUUUUGGCAUUGGUAUUACCCUUUCAAAACAAAUAAAAUGAAAGCAACUAAGACAAAUAAUGACCAAAUUUGCACACAAUUUACACAAAAAUAGGAGUUUUCAUAAUGUGUAAGAACGAACAUAUAGUAGUGCAUUUUUCACAAAUAAGAAGUUUUCAAAAAGGAAUGAAUUAGCGGCAUUUAACGUUAAAGAAGAAAGUAAAAUAACGAAGUUUUCAGAACUAAAUAAGAAAGCAACAUAAUGAUAUUAACCUUAAAGAAGAAAGUAAAAUGUAACAAAACUAAAAAAUCAAAAUAAUGAAGUUUUCUAAGAAAAAAGAAAUUAGUGGCAUUGGUAUUACCCAUUAAGAAGAAUAAACAAGGCGCACACCUCCAUUAAGAAGGAUAAAAAAGGCACACAACUUUGCGGUAAAAACACACAUUUUCUAAUAUGGAAAUAAGCCUAUAUAUGCAAUUUUCGCAUACGCGGAGUAUGUAGUCCCGUGCUCAAAUACUCCCUAAUGAACAGUAAAAUAAAAAAAAGUAAAAAAAAUCAAAACAUUCUGAAUUUUUGUGUGCAAACUUUGACGAAUGUUUGCUGUGCUUGUAAAAACUUAUAAAAGAAAUGACAUUUUUGGAAGUCGUGGUAAAAAAACUAAAAUCGAUGUUCCAAAAUCAGUAUAUACGAAAGCACUUUUGGAGUGCUGAUUUUUUUUUCAUGACUUCCAUGAAUUUUUUCGGGAUGAAAAUUUAAAAGCACUAAGAGCAUUUGUCCAGGUUUGCACCCAAAAAUAUCAUUUUCUUUUUGGUAUUCCGAAUUUUCACAAUCUAGUAUAAUUUACAAACAUACUUGUAGUACUUGUGUCUAUACUUAUACACACAAAAAUAAAAUUUUCAAUAAAGAAUAAAUUAUUGUCAUUGGUAUUACCCUUUAAAAAGAAAGCAAAUUGAAACAUUAAAAAAUACAAUGGAUUUUUUUAAAUUUUUUAUAAAACGAAAGUAAGCAUAUAUAAAAUUGGAAUUUUAGCAAAAAAUCUUUUCUAAAAAAGAAUAGAUUACUAACAUCGGUACUGCCCUUAAAGAGGAAAGAAAACUGAAACUAAUAUAAAAUUUAAGUUUCAAUCCAUCUAUCCUAACCCUUUAAUAAGAAAGAAAAUAAAAUCAAAACUAAAAAAAAUCUUGCACACAACUUUGCACUGAAAUUGCACUUUUUUGUAAUAUGCAAAGAAUAAGCGUAUAAUAAUGAAAAUUUUGCACCUCACUAUAAUCUAGAUACUAAUUGUGCGACACUUGCGUGUAUACAUUUAUACUCACCCAACAUCCUAAAAAUACCCAUGAAAAAGAAAAACCGACUAAAAAUUAGACGAAAAACAAGCAACGGGUAACAGGCUUCAACGGUCAAAACAGUCGACCUACCUAAAUUUUAAAAACUGGCAGCUUACAUAUAGCUAAAGUGUUUUCUUUUUGCAGGAAAACUUCCGAUCUAUUUAUCAACUAUCAAGGUAGUACAAACAACACUAGAAGUAAAAUUAUUGAAACAAUAUGUAUACAGUAAUUAUAUCCAGAUGUUUAUAAAAUCACAAAAAAUUUCAUAAUCGAAGAAAAGAAGAAAAACUAGAAAAUCUGGAGAAUACAAUAUAAUAUUAAUUUACAAAGAGAGUAUGGAGAAAAUAAAAAAAUAAAAAUUACAAAGAGAGUAUGGAGAAAAGUGUAUAUAUUUUUUCAAUAUAUAUAUAACAGAUGGAGAAAAUUGAAAAUUAAAAUAAUAAAAAAAGCAGGAAAAAUAAAAGAGAAUAAACGGUGGAAAGACUCAAGAAACGAAGGGAAGAAAAAAAGGCAAAAGAACAAAAAUAAUUUGUUGAAAACGGUACCAUGGGACGGCCCAAUACCAUAGACUACUCUCUGUGCGCUUUAUUGAUAUUUACGUUAGCCUAAAAAAGGUUUAUUACGUUAGUGGUCUAAAACAUCUUAUAUUAAUUUACAAAGAGAGCACUUGUUUUUUAAUCUAGAAAAAUUGUUGUUUAUGACGUAUGUGAUGACAUGUAAGCUACAUGCAUGUGUUAAAAGGCAAUGCAUGUGUUGUGCUGGGCCAAUCUAUCAUGGUGACCAAUGUUCCCAUCUACUCAAGAACUCAACUAAGUACUUUUGGAAAAUACAAAUCUACUCAACCAAACCCUAUUUGCCUCUCGCUGCAAGCCUAUAGGACAAAUCCUAUUUCGCACUUAUAGCACCAAACACAGAUAAAUGCCUAUGCAGCGCCUAGAAUAGCUUCCAUACUGCGCUGCCUCAUAUAUAAUGUUUUUUCAUGGGAUGGCUUUUUUUCUUGGACGGGUUUUGUUCACUUUUUCUUUUUACUUUUUCACUUUUCAAAUUUCAUGAACUUUUUGAAAAUCACGAUUUUUUCCAAAUUAGUAAAUUUUUAUAAUUUCAUGAACAUGUUUUAAAUCCAUUAUGUUUUUUCAAAUCCAUGAACGGUUAGUUAUAUCUGUGAACACAAUUUGGAUUAAAAGUCUUUUUUCAAAUAGAUGAACAUUUUGUGCAUUCAUGAACUUUUUGAAAAUUCGCUAUUUUUUCGAAUCCAUGAUUUUUUCGAAUUCAAUAAAAGGGUAAAUUUAAAACUUUAUCUAAAUCCAUGAACACAUUGAAAAAUCAUGAUUUUUUGAAAAAUGUCACGAAUAGUAUUUUAAAAAUUACUAUACAAAAAGAAUAAUUCAAUGAUAUUGUUUUACUCCUGAACUAGUACGUAUGAGGGAACAGUCAACGGCCAACGCUGAGCGAGUGAGCGAAAACAGAGCCCGCCAAUCUAUUUGAGUGAGUGAGCGAGUGAGUGAAAUUGGUACCUAAUUGGACGAGGCACGAUACAUCGCGCUUAGGCGCCAAUCUGUUUCGGGGCGCUAAGGCGCAAGGAGGAGGUCACACCCGCAAGAGCUAUACGCCUAUAUCUCGCUCCUCACCAGAUGGAAGCAACAGCUCUCCCUCUUUCCAUUGUUUCCGGGAUGGCCCAUAUUCGUUGUCCUUUGCAAUGACUAGCUUCUCAUUGCUUGAUCGUCUGUUUGUUCAUUGGUUCGGCUCAAGUUUUCUUCUAAUUUUUCUUAUUCCUUUUCUUUCUGUUUUUCUUUGUUUCUUCACAGCUUCGUAAAUUUUUUCCCUUUGUGUUUUCACCUUUUUUUUUGUUUUUGUCCGGUUUUUAAUAUUUUUCCUUUUCGUUUUUCUUUGGUUUCAUUUUAUUCAUUUCUCCGUUUUAUGGUUGUUCUUUUGUUUCCUAUUUCUUAAUUUCCUUUGGGUUUUUGUACUUCCGUUCUUUUCAUUAUUUUUGAGUGUUUUUGUUCACUUUUUUUGUUUUUCUUGGUUUCCUUAAGGGGUUUUUCAUUUUCUUUGGGUUUUCUAUUUAUUAUUUGCGAAUUGUUUUUCUAUUUCUUUCUUUCGUUUCUUGUUUUGAUCCAUUUUUCUUCAUUUUGUCUUUUUUAUUCAACACAUGUCUACAUAUCUUUACAUUCUACGUGUACAUCAGGAACAUUUUUCAAAUAUGUGAAUAAUAUGUUAAAAAAAUUAAGUUUGAUGACUACUUUUUCAUACAUAUUGUAUAUUUUUGUUAUAUAUGAGGAACUUUUAAAAUAAUUAAUUAACAUUUCCCAAAUGUACGAUUAACAUUUUUAUACAGGAUCAAUUUUUUGAUAAAAUAUGUUUUUAUAUUCAAAAUUUAAUAAACUUUCUAAAAUUUUCUUAUACAUUUGUAACAAUUUUUUAAUACACGUUUCACUUUUUUGAAAUCGUUAUUUAACUUGAUUUCAAUUAUUUGCGUUUGAUGACAACUUUGUCAAUACACACUAUACAUUUUUGGGCAUACAUGAGGACAUUUUUUAUACACAUUUAACAUUUCUAAAAUAUAUAACUAGCAUUUUUUUAAUACAAGCUCAACCUUUGUAAACAGUAUUUUUUUAUGUUCAAUUUUUUUUAUACAUGUCUAUAUUUCCGGUAUACAUCAGGAAGUUUUUUGCAAAUGAUUAACAUAAUUGAAAUAGAUGAUAAACAUUUUUGAAAAACAUAUUUUUUUUAUGUCUACUUUUUCCAUACACAUUAUAUAUUUAUUGUAUACAUGAGGAAAAAAAAUUAUAUACAUGUUUAACAUUUUCAAAAUAAAGUAUCAACCUUUCUAAAGGAUUAACCAGUUAACCAUUAAUAACGUAUACAGGUUAUUGAAAAAGUGGACAUCGAAAAUUUUGGAAAAUGUUAAUGGUCAACUGGUUAAUGCUUCUCAUAACAAUUUGACCAUUAAUUAUGUAUAAAUAUUAUUGAAAAAGUAGACAACCAAAAAUUUGGAAAAUGCUAAUGGAUGAUGAUGUUUUAUUGUUGGUGGAUGCAGAAGUGAUUUUGAGGAUCCCGAUUUGUACCGAGAAAGUAGAUGAUUUUUGCGCUUGGAUUGCAUAUCGGAGGGGCUGUUUUUCAGUACUUUGGCAUACCGUCUCAUUGUCAGAACAAAAUGCAGCAGAGAAGGCUGAAAUGGAUGAAGGUACUGGUCAUUCGUUUUAGAUGGGUGAAGCAAAAGAUUGGACAUCACUGUGGAAUAUCAAGGAUUCUAUAUAGUAUUAAACAAUAAAUACCAUUAAGUGACAGUUAAUUAAUCUUUUUUAACCUCUCUCCCUCUCUCUCCGUCCCUCCCUGCCUACAAGUUGCACACGCCAGUAACCCAUAGAGUGGUCACGACAAAACAUGCUUUGGUAGAUAUUUAGAUCUUGUAGUUACGCAUUGGGGUAUUUUUGCAAAAUUGCUAAUAUAUUCCAACAUGCCAAUAAGAAGGCCAUAACUUAUGAAGGGAGAGCAAAAACUAGUAUAUUAAGUAAAGGGUUCAAGCAGGGGCAAUCGCCUAAAAACAAUUUAGGUCAGUCCAUUUUUUCUCCAUGCAGUAGAAUUGCAAUCAACUAACAACAAAAUUUGUCAACCUUUUCCUAGAGGAAAAUUUUGCCCUUUGCAGAAAUAGAAGCCCAACAGAUACUUGGUCUUGGUCUGAAACAUAGGAAAAAUUGACCAAAUACCUUGUAAGACACAAGACAAAGACAAAAAUAAAUGAAGAAAUAUAACAUUAAAGACAAAAAACAAUGCUUUCUAAUGACGAAUGAAUUUUUGGCAUUGGUAUUACCCUUUCAAAACAAAUGAAAUGAAAGCAACUAAGACAAAUAAUGACCAAAUUUGCACACAAUUUACACAAAAAUAGGAGUUUUCAUAAUGCGUAAGAACGAACAUAUAGUAGUGCAUUUUUCACAAAUAAGAAGUUUUCAAAAAAGGAAUGAAUUUUUGCAUUUAACCUUAAAGAAGAAAGUAAAAUAACGAAGUUUUCAGAACUAAAGAAGAAAGUAACAUAAUGAUAUUAACCUUAAAGAAGAAAGUAAAAUGUAACAAAACUAAAAAAUCAAAAUAAUGAAGUUUUCUAAGAAAAAAUAAAUUAGUGGCAUUGGUAU